rnacentral:rRNA from 1 species
GAAUUUUGGACAAUGGGGGAAACCCUGAUCCAGCCAUGCCGCGUGAGUGAAGAAGGCCUUCGGGUUGUAAAGCUCUUUCAGCCGGAACGAAACGGUCACCGCUAAUACCUGUUACUACUGACGGUACCGGAAGAAGAAGCACCGGCUCACUACGUUCCCGCACCCGCGGUAAUACGUAGGGUGCGAGCGUUAACCGGAAUUACUGGGCGUAAAGCGUGCGCAGGCGGUUUUGUAAGUCAGAUGUGAAAUCCCCGGGCUUAACCUGGGAACUGCGUUUGAAACUACAAGGCUAGAGUGUGGCAGAGGGGGGUGGAAUUCCACGUGUAGCAGUGAAAUGCGUAGAGAUGUGGAGGAACACCGAUGGCGAAGGCAGCCCCCUGGGUUAACACUGACGCUCAGGCACGAAAGCGUGGGGAGCAAACAGG